GAUGAAGAACGUAGCGAAAUGCGAAAAGUAGUGUGAAUUGCAGAAUUCAGUGAAUCAUCGAAUCUUUGAACGCACAUUGCGCCCGCCAGUAUUCUGGCGGGCAUGCCUGUUCGAGCGUCAUUUCAACCAUCAAGCCCCCGGCUUGUGUUGGGGACCUGCGGCUGCCGCAGGCCCUGAAAAGCAGUGGCGGGCUCGCUGUCACACCGAGCGUAGUAGAUUUCAUCUCGCUCAGGGCGUGCUGCGGGUUCCGGCCGUUAAACCACCUUCAUAACCCAAGGUUGACCUCGGAUCAGGUAGGAAGACCCGCUGAACUUAAGCAUAUCAAUAAGCGGAGGA
rnacentral:misc_RNA from 1 species